AUGAACGCUAGCGGCAGGCUUAAUACAUGCAAGUCGAACGGGAUUCGGUGUAGCAAUACAUUGAUGAGAGUGGCGCACGGGUGCGUAACGCGUAUGCAACCUACCUUUAACAGGUGAAUAGCCCCGAGAAAUCGGGAUUAAUACACCGUAACAUUGCGGGAUGGCAUCAUUCUGCAAUUAAAGAUUUAUCGGUUAAAGAUGGGCAUGCGUGACAUUAGCUAGUUGGUGAGGUAACGGCUCACCAAGGCGACGAUGUCUAGGGGUCCUGAGAGGGUUAUCCCCCACACUGGUACUGAGACACGGACCAGACUCCUACGGGAGGCAGCAGUAAGGAAUAUUGGUCAAUGGGCGCAAGCCUGAACCAGCCAUGCCGCGUGCAGGAAGACGGCCCUAUGGGUUGUAAACUGCUUUUGUCAGGGAAUAAACCUGUCUACGUGUAGGCAGCUGAAGGUACCUGAAGAAUAAGCAUCGGCUAACUCCGUGCCAGCAGCCGCGGUAA
rnacentral:rRNA from 1 species